rnacentral:misc_RNA from 1 species
AAGUCGUAACAAGGUUUCCGUAGGUGAACCUGCGGAAGGAUCAUUAGCAAUGAUAAGAAUCGACCUGUGGAAAAGCGAGGGCUCGCAAGAGCGCUCAUGUUCUCUCAGCAAGCGAGUGAGUGGGUGAGUGGAAGCGAGCGAGUGGGUGAAGCGAGUGGGUGUCAGCAGCAGCCGACACUCGUGCCGCAGUAGCCCGCUCGCUUCCACUCACCCACUCACCCACUCACUCGCGCACUCGCCCGCUUGCUGAGAGACAUUGACAACAACAACAACCAUGAUAGAUAGACAAACAACACAGUAUGACAACAGAGAACAACUUUUAACAAUGGAUCUCUUGGCUCUU